UGUUUAUCUUCCUCGCUCUCCUCUUUCUCCUCCUGUUUAUCUUCCUCGCUCUCCUCUUUCUCCUCCUGUUUAUCUUCCUCGCUCUCCUCUUUCUCCUUCUGUUUAUCUUUCUCACUCUCCUCUUUCUCCUUCUGUUUAUCUUUCUCACUCUCCUCUUUGUCCUUCUUGCUCUCCUCUUUCUCAACCCCCCACACGCUUUCUUUCUUGCCCCCCUUCUUCCCCAGGUCUCUCUUCUUCCCAUACAGCCUCUCCUGGAUCCUGUCGUUCAGUCGGCCCAACUCUUCCACCCCCAGAUCCAGCCCAACAGUCUGCAGCAGGCUCUGGAUCUGUCCGUACUUCUGCUCAUCCUCAGGCCUCAUUUUCCUCUUCUCCUCCACCUGUGGAGACAUGGACUUAAGCCUCUCUUUCCUCUUCUCCUCAACAGGUGGAGACAUGGACUUAAGCCUCUCUUUCCUCUUCUCCUCAACAGGUGGAGACAUGGACUUAAGCCUCUCUUUCCUCUUCUCCUCAACAGGUGGAGACUUGGACUUAAGCCUCCCUUUCCUCUUCUCCUCAACAGGUGGAGACUUGGACUUAAGCCUCCCUUUCCCCUUCGGCUCAACAGGUGGAGACUUGGACUUAAGCCUCCCUUUCCUCUUCUCCUCAACAGGUGGAGACUUGGACUUAAGCCUCCCUUUCCUCUUCUCCUCAACAGGUGGAGACUUGGACUUAUGCCUUCCUUUCCCCUUCGGCUCAACAGGUGGAGACUUGGACUUAAGCCUCCCUUUCCUCUUCUCCUCAACAGGUGGAGACUUGGACUUAUGCCUUCCUUUCCCCUUCGGCUCAACAGGUGGAGACUUGGACUUAAGCCUCCCUUUCCUCGUCUCAUCCACCUGUGUAGACUUGGGCUUUUUGUUUUUUGGGCUAUCCAUAGCCUGGAUGAAGCCUAAGCUAAGGCUAUGUUGCCCAAUCUCUCCUCCUCCAUUUUGUAAGAGACUGCGGUGCUGUGGCAGAACGUUACCUGCUUGGGCCACUUGACGCAACAGAUCCCCAAACGGAUUGGGCUGAACCCCGAGUAGUGUGGGCUGACCCCAGAGUAUAUUGAACGAACCUUGUGGGAACUCAUCAAAUCGGGAGCGCCUUUUGCGAGAGGGCACCUUCCUCUCAUUCUUAGAGUUGGUCUCGGGCUGGCCAUGAAGUGGAGGCGGCUGACCUUGUGGCAGCUCCUCUCCCAUAGAGGGUAAAUCCUUGAAAUUGUUGACAAUCUUUGAGAGCCUGUCGAUGUCCACCCCUUUGUUGAGGACAUCGAGGAAGUGCUGGAAGCCCUUGGCUGCUUUGUCCU
ensembl:lncRNA